GGCUUUGUAGUGUAGUGGUUAUCACUUGAGAUUCUGACCGAGUUAUCAUCAGCAUAGCUGAUAUCGGUGACUUCUCAAAACCCAGGUUCGAGUCCUGGCAAGGCCU
rnacentral:tRNA from 1 species